UUUCAACAAUACAUACUUAAUAAAAUACUAACUGCAUCAAAAUAUAUAUUAUGGAUGUAACCACUACUUUAGUUGCAUAAUAAUCGGGAUAGCAUCAAAAUCAAAACCGUCACUCAAUAACUGCAUCUAAAUAUCAAUUAUCAACAUGUUUUUGUAUAACACGAACAUUUGAGGCAGUUGAAAUAUCAACGUGUCUUUGUAUAACACGAACAUUUGAGGCAGUUUAAUGCAUCUAAAAAAUCAAAUCAGUACGAAUGAACAUUUUAUGGUUCACAACCUUGAUUUUCGGGUCUAUUUCCAAUCAUUUUGUGGGUACAGAUGUUUUUCACUAAUUAAACAAGUACUUAAAAGGGAAUAUAGUCAAAAGAGAAGGCGUCCACCUCAGCAAAUAAAAUCAACGAAUGAGGGAGUACUAUACUGCCACAUCAAUUUAUUCUUUCACCACCGUUCUCUUCAUCUCCUUCCCGAUGAAUCUCUUGGUUUCCUUCCCUGCGAAUUCAUAACCGCUUCUUAUACAGUUAAUUGCAUAAAUUAAUUGAUUAACGUUAUGACCCUUAAUAUAUAAAUCGAGUGAUGGCCGAAUCUAAUUC
rnacentral:lncRNA from 1 species